ACAAAUUUGCCAUCUUCAACAGCCCCGUGUGGGUCCACCGCCGACGCCUUCGCCGUCCACAAAACCCAAUCACAGGCAACCGGAAAAAAAAUCACAGAAUACUCCUAUCGACGACGACUACGCCGGUGGACGGCGGCGGCGGAGAAGUACCUUCAUCGUAUAGAUCCACCAAUCAAAGCCUCAUCGGCGCCAAUUGGAAGAAAACUAGUCUAGAUUCUAUAAGUUUCCGGUAGAUUAUCAAAUCUCCGUCCGUUUGGUUUUCUAUAUCUCAAUUAUCUUACCAGAUGAACGAAGUGCUUACAGCUUCCGAUGCAUCUUCAAGUGCGCGGUCGUAUUCGUCGUCGAUUGCACCUGUCAAUGUUCCCCUCUUUUCGGCAUUACUUGCCUGUGCUAUUGCACAAUUUCUCAAGCUAUUCACCACCUGGUACAAGGAGAAGAGAUGGGAUUCAAAAAGGAUGCUUAGCUCAGGUGGAAUGCCAUCAUCACAUUCAGCAACAGUUACUUCACUGAUAAUGGCAAUUUAUUUACAGGAAGGAGCUGGAGGAUCUGUCUUCGCGAUUGCUGUGGUUUUGGCAUGUGUUGUAAUGUAUGAUGCUACUGGUGUUAGGCUUCAUGCUGGGCGCCAGGCUGAAUUGUUGAACCAGAUAGUGUGUGAAUUGCCUCCCGAGCAUCCUGUUGCCAAUGUUAGACCUCUGCGAGAUUCGCUUGGUCACACUCCCCUUCAGGUUCUUGCCGGUGCAGUGCUGGGAUGUGUAGUGCCAUUACUGCUGAGAAGCUCAAUCUAGAGUUCAACUUUAUGAUCUCCCUUCAAAUACUCAGUAAAUAUCGAAAUGGUUCUAAGCUAUUAAAGCUGGAAUCAACAUCACUACCAAGGGAAAAAUUUAUGUGAAUUUAUCCUUUCUUCACCUUGUUGGUGGGUUGGGAGAGGGGGGUAGUGUGUAUUGUUCGUGAUUGUGACAACUCAAUCCCCUGUACUUUUUAGUUUAUCAUCCAACUUUUAAGCCAUUUAUUUAUAAUUAUUAUUGUUGAAUACUAGCUUGAUUACUUACAUGCAUCAAUCCUCAAAAUGAAUGAGAAUCUGA
rnacentral:misc_RNA from 1 species